GAGCACAGGAGCCCUGAAAUGAGCGCUGUGCCUCUCCUGCCCUGUCUGUAGUCACAUAGGGCUGGAGCCAAACAACCGCAUGUGGUUCUGAGCGAAUUAGGAUUUCAACAAAGGAACCAAGAAUAAUUUUUUAUGCAUUUCCAAGAACACACCCAUGACCUCCGGAUUCAUCAACUGCAAGUGAGAGUAAAUGGCUGGGAGCAAGUGAGCCCAGUGUCUGUGGACAAAGUCGGGACCUUUUUUCGAUAUGCAGCACCAGAUAAAAAUUCAUCUUCCUCUACGAUUGGCAGCCCAAGCAGCAGAACAAAUAUUAUACAUCCCCAGGUUUAUUUCUCUUCACUCCCACCAGUGCGGGUGGUCUUUGCAGUGACUAUGGAAGGCAGUGCACGGAAAGUCAUCACUGUCCGGUCAGCCCUCAUUGUGAGGAACAGACUUGAGACACCAAUGGAACUAAGACUGGAUAGCCCAUCAGCUCCAGACAAGCCAGUGGUGCUUCCUGCUAUCAUGCCAGGGGAUUCGUUUGCUGUGCCUUUACACCUCACUUCUUGGCGGCUACAGGCCCGGCCC
rnacentral:sRNA from 1 species